rnacentral:rRNA from 1 species
UGCGAGUCGGCGCCUCUCAGCCACCGGGAGAGGCGCGGCGGACGGCUCCGUAACACGUAGCUAACCUACCCUCAGGACGGGAAUAACCCCGGGAAACUGGGGCUAAUUCCCGAUAGGUGAGGAGGCCUGGAAGGGUCCCUCGCCAAAAGGGCCCUAGAACCAUGCUUCUAGGGCCGCCUGAGGAUGGGGCUGUGGCCGAUCAGGUAGUUGGUGGGGUAACGGCCCACCAAGCCUAUAACCGGUACGGGCCGUGGGAGCGGUAGCCCGGAGAUGGACACUGAGACAAGGGUCCAGGCCCUACGGGGCGCAGCAGGCGCGAAACCUCCGCAAUACGCGAAAGCGUGACGGGGCCACCCCGAGUGCCGUCCGCUGAGGACGGCUUUUCCCCAGUGUAGACAGCUGGGGGAAUAAGGGGAGGGCAAAUCCGGUGUCAACCGCCGCGGUAAUACCCGCUCCCCGAGUGGUGGGGACGCUUAUUGGGGCUAAAGCAUCCGGAGCCCGCUGGACAAGUCCCCUGUUAAAUCCAGCGAUUCCAUCCCCGGACUGCGGGGGAUUCUGGCCAGCUAGGGGGCGGGAAAGGCCAGCGGUAUUCCCGGGGUAGGGGUGAAAUCUUA